rnacentral:rRNA from 1 species
UUGAGGCGUGAUGGGGAAGGCCAUAUAGGCCGAAGUACAUGAUUCCAUGCUUCCAAGAAAAGCAUCUAGAGAGAGAAGUAGUGCCCGUACCGCAAACCGACACAGGUAGAUGAGGAGAGAAUCCUAAGGCCGGCGGAAGAAUUGCAGUUAAGGAACUAGGCAAAUUGACCCCGUAAGUUCGCGAGAAGGGGUGCCUGCGAGAGCAGGCCGCAGAGAAUAGGCCCAAGCAACUGUUUAGCAAAAACACAGGUCUCUGCUAAAGCGUAAGCUGAUGUAUAGGGGCUGACGCCUGCCCGGUGCUGGAAGGUUAAGGGGAACACUUAGCGCAAGCGAAGGUGUGAACUUAGCCCCAGUAAACGGCGGCCGUAACGAUAACGGUCCUAAGGUAGCGAAAUUCCUUGUCAGGUAAGUUCUGACCCGCACGAAUGGCGUAAUGACUUGGGCACUGUCUCAACUGCAAAUCCGGCGAAGUUGUAGUGCGAGUGAAGAUGCUCGCUACCCGCGAUUGGACGGAAAGACCCCGUAGAGCUUUACUGUAGCUUAGCAUUGAAUUCCGGUAUUGUCUGUACAGGAUAGGUGGGAGACUGGGAAACUAGGGCGUCAGCCUUAGUGGAGUCAACCUUGGGAUACCACCCUGACAGUACUGGGGUUCUAACAGGACGCCAUGAAUCUGGUGACUGGACAUUGUUAGGUGGGCAGUUUGACUGGGGCGGUCGCCUCCUAAAAGUAACGGAGGCGCCCAAAGGUUCCCUCAGAACGGUCGGAAAUCGUUCGUAGAGUGCAAAGGCAGAAGGGAGCCUGACUGCGAGACAUACAAGUCGAGCAGGGACGAAAGUCGGGUUUAGUGAUCCGGUGGUACCUCGUGGGAGGGCCAUCGCUCAACGGAUAAAAGCUACCUCGGGGAUAACAGGCUGAUCUCCCCCAAGAGUCCACAUCGACGGGGAGGUUUGGCACCUCGAUGUCGGCUCGUCGCAUCCUGGGGCUGUAGUAGGUCCCAAGGGUUGGGCUGUUCGCCCAUUAAAGCGGCACGCGAGCUGGGUUCAGAACGUCGUGAGACAGUUCGGUCCCUAUCCGUCGCGGGCGUAGGAAAUUUGAGAGGAGCUGUCCUUAGUACGAGAGGACCGGGAUGGACUGACCUCUGGUGCACCAGUUGUUCCGCCAGGAGCAUGGCUGGGUAGCUAAGUCGGGAAGGGAUAAACGCUGAAAGCAUCUAAGCGUGAAGCCUCCCUCAAGAUGAGAUUUCCCAUAGCAUAAGCUAGUAAGACCCCUUGAAGAACACAAGGUUGAUAGGUCAGAGGUGUAAGUGCGGUAACGUAUUUAGCUGACUGAUACUAAUAGAUCGAGGGCUUGACCAU